UACGUAGGGUGCAAGCGUUGUCCGGAAUUAUUGGGCGUAAAGAGCUCGUAGGCGGUUUGUCGCGUCUGCUGUGAAAACCUAAGGCUCAACCUUGGGCUUGCAGUGGGUACGGGCAGACUAGAGUGCGGUAGGGGUGACUGGAAUUCCUGGUGUAGCGGUGGAAUGCGCAGAUAUCAGGAGGAACACCGGUGGCGAAGGCGGGGUCUCUGGGCCGAUACUGACGCUGGAGGAGCGAAAGCGUGGGGAUCAAACAGG
rnacentral:rRNA from 1 species